UACAGAGGGUGCAAGCGUUAAUCGGAAUUACUGGGCGUAAAGCGCGCGUAGGCGGCAAUUUAAGUUGGAUGUGAAAGCCCCGGGCUUAACCUGGGACGGUCAUUCAAAACUGGGUUGCUAGAAUGUGGUAGAGGGUAGUGGAAUUCCUAGUGUAGCGGUGAAAUGCGUAGAUAUUAGGAGGAACAUCAGUGGCGAAGGCGACUGCCUGGACUGACAUUGACGCUGAGGUGCGAAAGCGUGGGUAGCGAACAGG
rnacentral:rRNA from 1 species